ACCUAAUUAGCUCAGUGGGUAGAGCAUGCGACUCUUGAUCUCAGGGUUGUGAGUUCCAGUCCCACAAUGGGUG
rnacentral:tRNA from 1 species